rnacentral:rRNA from 1 species
UCCGGUUGAUCCUGCCGGCGGCCACCGCUAUUGGAAUUCGAUUAAGACAUGCGAGUCGAGAGUCGCAAGGACUCGGCGGACCGCUCAGUAACACGCGGAUAACAUGCCCUUGGGUGGGGGAUAACCUCGGGAAACUGAGAAUAAUACCCCAUAGAUCUAGAGAGCUGGAAUGCUUUUAGAUCAAAAACUCCGGUGCCCAAGGAUUGGUCUGCGGCGUAUCAGGUUGUAGUGGGUGUAACGGACCCCCUAGCCUAUGACGCGUAAGGGCCUUGAGAGAGGGAGCCCUGAGAUGGACUCUGAGACAUGAGUCCAGGCCCUACGGGGCGCAGCAGUCGCGAAAACUUCACACUGGGGGAAACCCCGAUGAGGGAAUUCCAAGUGCCAGCACAUUGUGUUGGCUGUUCUUUGGUCUAAAAAACCAGAGAAGUAAGGGCCGGGUAAGACGGGUGCCAGCCGCCGCGGUAAUACCCGCGGCCCGAGUGGUGGUCGAUAUUAUUGAGCCUAAAACGUCCGUAGCCGGUCUUGUAAAUCCUUGGGUAAAUCGACCAGCUCAACUGUUCGAAGUCCGGGGAGACUGCAAGACUUGGGAUCGGGAGAGGUGAGAGGUACUUCUGGGGUAGGGGUAAAAUCCUGUAAUCCUAGAAGGACCACCGGUGGCGAAGGCGUCUCACUAGAACGAAUCCGACGGUGAGGGACGAAGCCCUGGGGCGCAAACGGGAUUAGAUACCCCGGUAGUCCAGGGUGUAAACGCUGCGGGCUUGGUGUUGGGGGUCCUUUGAGGGCGCCCAGUGCCGGAGAGAAGUUGUUAAGCCUGCUGCUUGGGGAGUACGUCCGCAAGGAUGAAACUUAAAGGAAUUGGCGGGGGAGCACCGCAACGGGAGGAGCGUGCGGUUCAAUUGGAUUCAACACCGGACAACUCACCAGGAGCGACGGUUACAUGAAGGCCAGGCUGAUGACCUUGCCUGAUUUUCCGAGAGGUGGUGCAUGGCCGUCGUCAGUUCGUACCGUAAGGCGUUCUCUUAAGUGAGAUAACGAACGAGACCCUCACCAUUAAUUGCUAGUCCUUUCUCCGGAGGGGGCGCACAUUAAUGGGACCGCUGGCGCUAAGUCAGAGGAAGGAGAGGUCAACGGUAGGUCCGUAUGCCCCGAAUCCC